rnacentral:sRNA from 1 species
GGAAGGAUCAUUACCGAAUUGUCAAACACGGGUUGUUGCUGGCCCCCGAACGGGGCAUGUGCACGCUCUGUUUACACAUCCACUCACACCUGUGCACCCUCUGUAGUUCUGUGGACCGGGAGACGUUGUCUUCCUUCCGUAGCUCUACGUCUUUACACACACACCGUAGCGAUGUCUCAUGGAAUGUUUUUUCGCGUUUAACGCAAUACAAUACAACUUUCAGCAACGGAUCUCUUGGCUCUCGCAUCGAUGAAGAACGCAGCGAAAUGCGAUAAGUAAUGUGAAUUGCAGAAUUCAGUGAAUCAUCGAAUCUUUGAACGCACCUUGCGCCCCUUGGUUAUUCCUCGGAGCAUGCCUGUUUGAGUAUCAUGAACACCUCAACUCUCAUGGUCUUCCAUGAUGAGCUUGGACUUUGGGGGUUUGCUGACCUUGUGGCCGGCUCCUCUCAAAUGAAUCAGCUUGCCAGUGUUUGGCGGCGUCACGGGUGUGAUAACUAUCUACGCUCGCGGUUGUCCGUCAGGUAACCCUCAGCGAUGAAGGUUCAUUGGGGCUCAUAAAUGUCUCUCCCCAGCGAGGACAACUUUUGAAUGUUCGAUCUCAAAUCAGGUAGGACUACCCGCUGAACUUAAGCAUAUCAAUA